AAUAAAUGUAAUAGUAAGUGAAAGAAAUUAAAUGAUAAAUCAUUAAAUUUAAAAGAUUUGGCAGUAUUUAAUAUUUAGAGGAACCUGUAUAGUAAUUGAUGAUCCACGAUAAGAUAUACUUAAUUAAAGAUUUAUGUAUUGCUGUUUUUAAUAUUUAAUUAAGUUAGAUUAAUAAAAUUUAUAAUAUUUAAUAAAGUAAUUCAAGUCAAAAUAUAGUUUAGUUAAGAUUAAUAUGGGUUACAAUUAAUUAAAUUAUUGGAUUAAAAAAUUUAAAAUUUUUAAGAAAUUGGAUUUAAAAGUAAAUUUAAUUAAUUAAUUAAGUUGAAUAAUAAAUUAAAUAUGU
rnacentral:rRNA from 1 species